AUGUUCAGCCAACAUGAGAAAGUGACCGUUACACAAAUGGAGUUAGGUGGACACCACCACCGCUCAAAACAGUUUGCGAGAGCUUUGCUCAGAGCCGCUGCUGCCGCCAGAAUGUUUAACAUUGUUAUGUCCAGUGUCAAUGCAGCGAACCAGACCGUAAACUCCUUGAAACCACUGUUUACGGUCUUCCAGAAGGACUUUACCCAGACUCCGCUGUUUACAGCAUUAACAACAGACAUGCUGUGGGAGGUUAGCUCCUCCAUUGACAGCCUAACCAUGAGUAAAACCCCACCAUAUAUGAUACCCUUAAGCCUUGUGUUAACUGUGCUGUCUUACGCCAUCACCAUGCCAGCUGACCUGAUACAAAUACACCUGGCCAACUCUCUGGAUAGUGCCAUCCUACGGCACGUCAACCCCAAACAGAGAGAAGUGAAUGUGCGCCUGAACCAACCCAUCAGCGAGUCAAGCCAAGUCUACAGACCUAAAGACAUUGUCAGUGCCAGGAUGUGGAAAAGAAACACCCACACCAAGACACACAUUCCAGAUGUGGUGGCCUACCACGAAAGCGACACACAGCUGUACCUGGCCCCAAACAUGCACAUGUGUACUUUGACCAAAGACAUUCAUUAUCUCUGCCUUAGCAAACCCUUCCUCAGACACAACGCUGAAGGAAUCUGCGAGUUGCAACCCUGGGUCAGCGAUACGCGCUGCCCUGCCGAAGCCAAGCCUCGUACACAAGUCACAGAAACGCAAGCAGAGAUUGUGGGUAACAGAUGGCUCAUCAACACUCCUGUGCGCUCAGCUACACUGACCUACGACCAGCAUGACACCGCCACCCGUGUCAACCUGCUUGACCAAAUACUGAAAGGUACCACCCAACACAUUGACAUUACUCCUGUCGACACAGCCCUCCAAGCACUGUCUCGACAGCCCGUUCUGAACCAGUCAUCUGCGGUCCGAGCCUGGACUGCUGCCGACGCUGCACGGUGCAUCUCCACUGUCAUUGGUCCCGCCCUGACUCUUGGCAUGACCUUCAUCCUAUACAGGAUACUCAAUGAGACGCAAACCGCUACAGCCAAACUCAUGACAACCGUGGCUGGAGGUCUCCGAUGGAAUCCCUGGAAAGGGGGUGCCAAGUCAAAGACAACACCGAACCUCAUCAAGCUGAAUCCUCAGCUCCAGGAACCACCUGCCAUCUUGAACCACCUGCCGUCAUGA
rnacentral:lncRNA from 1 species